rnacentral:rRNA from 1 species
CUCGCGAGAGCUAGCAAUCCAUAAACCGUGGCUCAGUUCAGAUCGUAGGCUGCAACUCGCCUACGUGAAGUAGGAAUCGCUAGUAAUCGCAGGUCAGCAUACUGCGGUGAAUACGUUCCCGGGCCUUGUACACACCGCCCGUCACACCAUGGAAGUUGGCCAUGCCCGAAGUCGUUACUCCAACCCUUGUGGAGGAGGACGCCGAAGGUGGGGCUAAUGACUGGGGUGAAGUCGUAACAAGGUAGCCGUACCGGAAGGUGCGGCUGGAUCACCUCCUAA